AGAGCGGGAGCCCGGAGAUGGGCACUGAGACAAGGGCCCAGGCCCUACGGGGCGCAGCAGUCGCGAAACCUUUGCAAUACACGAAAGUGUGACAAGGCUAUCCCGAGUGCCAUCCGCUGAGGAAGGCUUUUACCUAGUAUAAAUAGCUAGGAGAAUAAGGAGAGGGCAAGUCUGGUGUCAGCCGCCGCGGUAAUACCAGCUCUCCGAGUAGUGUGGAUGUUUAUUGGGCCUAAAGCAUCCGUAGCUUGCUAAGUAAGUCCCCUGUUAAAUCCACCGAUUCAAUCGGUGGAUUGCGGGGGAUACUGUUUGGCUGGGGGACGGGAGAGGCCGACGGUAUUUCCGGGGUAGGGGUGAAAUCCUAUAAUCCCGGGAGGACCACCAGUGGCGAAGGCUGUCGGCU
rnacentral:rRNA from 1 species